rnacentral:rRNA from 1 species
AGUGUUUGAUCAUGGCUCAGAUUGAACGCUGGCGGCAGGCCUAACACAUGCAAGUCGAACGGUAACAGGAAACAGCUUGCUGUUUCGCUGACGAGUGGCGGACGGGUGAGUAAUGUCUGGGAAACUGCCUGAUGGAGGGGGAUAACUACUGGAAACGGUAGCUAAUACCGCAUAACGUCGCAAGACCAAAGAGGGGGACCUUCGGGCCUCUUGCCAUCAGAUGUGCCCAGAUGGGAUUAGCUAGUAGGUGGGGUAACGGCUCACCUAGGCGACGAUCCCUAGCUGGUCUGAGAGGAUGACCAGCCACACUGGAACUGAGACACGGUCCAGACUCCUACGGGAGGCAGCAGUGGGGAAUAUUGCACAAUGGGCGCAAGCCUGAUGCAGCCAUGCCGCGUGUAUGAAGAAGGCCUUCGGGUUGUAAAGUACUUUCAGCGGGGAGGAAGGGAGUAAAGUUAAUACCUUUGCUCAUUGACGUUACCCGCAGAAGAAGCACCGGCUAACUCCGAGCCAGCAGCCGCAGUAAUACGGAGGGUGCAAGCGUUAAUCGGAAUUACUGGGCGUAAAGCGCACGCAGGCGGUUUGUUAAGUCAGAUGUGAAAUCCCCGGGCUCAACCUGGGAACUGCAUCUGAUACUGGCAAGCUUGAGUCUCGUAGAGGGGGGUAGAAUUCCAGGUGUAGCGGUGAAAUGCGUAGAGAUCUGGAGGAAUACCGGUGGCGAAGGCGGCCCCCUGGACGAAGACUGACGCUCAGGUGCGAAAGCGUGGGGAGCAAACAGGAUUAGAUACCCUGGUAGUCCACGCCGUAAACGAUGUCGACUUGGAGGUUGUGCCCUUGAGGCGUGGCUUCCGGAGCUAACGCGUUAAGUCGACCGCCUGGGGAGUACGGCCGCAAGGUUAAAACUCAAAUGAAUUGACGGGGGCCCGCACAAGCGGUGGAGCAUGUGGUUUAAUUCGAUGCAACGCGAAGAACCUUACCUGGUCUUGACAUCCACGGAAGUUUUCAGAGAUGAGAAUGUGCCUUCGGGAACCGUGAGACAGGUGCUGCAUGGCUGUCGUCAGCUCGUGUUGUGAAAUGUUGGGUUAAGUCCCGCAACGAGCGCAACCCUUAUCCUUUGUUGCCAGCGGUCCGGCCGGGAACUCAAAGGAGACUGCCAGUGAUAAACUGGAGGAAGGUGGGGAUGACGUCAAGUCAUCAUGGCCCUUACGACCAGGGCUACACACGUGCUACAAUGGCGCAUACAAAGAGAAGCGACCUCGCGAGAGCAAGCGGACCUCAUAAAGUGCGUCGUAGUCCGGAUUGGAGUCUGCAACUCGACUCCAUGAAGUCGGAAUCGCUAGUAAUCGUGGAUCAGAAUGCCACGGUGAAUACGUUCCCGGGCCUUGUACACACCGCCCGUCACACCAUGGGAGUGGGUUGCAAAAGAAGUAGGUAGCUUAACCUUCGGGAGGGCGCUUACCACUUUGUGAUUCAUGACUGGGGUGAAGUCGUAACAAGGUAACCGUAGGGGAACCUGCGGCUG